AGUCGAACGCAGUAGCAUACUGAGUGGCAACGGGUGAGUAUAAUGUGGGUAUCUGCCUUUUGGUUUGGAAUAACAUGAGGAAACUUGUGCUAAUACCGGAUAAGCCUUCACAGGGAAAGUUUUAUACGCCGAAAGAUGAGCCCGCACUUGAUUAGUUUGUUGGUGAGGUAAUGGCUCACCAAGACAAUUAUCAAUAGCUGGUCUGAGAGGACGAUCAGCCACAUUGGGACUGAGACACGGCCCAGACUCCUACGGGAGGCAGCAGUAAGGAAUCUUGCACAAUGGGGGAAACCCUGAUGCAGCGAUGCCGCGUGAGUGAAGAAGGCCCUUGGGUUGUAAAACUCUUUCGUCGGGGAAGAAAAUGACUGUACCCGAAUAAGAAGGUCCGGCUAACUUCGUGCCAGCAGCCGCGGUAAUACGAAGGGACCUAGCGUAGUUCGGAAUUACUGGGCUUAAAGAGCUCGUAGGUGGUUAAAAUAGUUGAUGGUGAAAUCCCAAGGCUCAACCUUGGAACUGCCAUCAAAACUUUUUAGCUAGAGUGUGAUAGAGGAAAGUGGAAUUUCUAGUGUAGAGGUGAAAUUCGUAGAUAUUAGAAAGAACACCAAAUGCGAAGGCAACUUUCUGGGUCACUACUGACACUGAGGAGCGACAGCAUU
rnacentral:rRNA from 1 species